AGCGCUGUGUACAGCUUUAAAUGCAGCAGGGAGCAUACAGAGGAGUUGAUAAAACUCCGUGGGCAAAAUGACCACCUCUUUACCGGGGCCAAAAACACUGCCACAGUCUGAUGGAGAACAAUCCUGCAAAAAACGGGCCUGGAGGGUGAAGUUGAGCCACAAAAGGCCAAAAAAAAGUGGGACAACUUGAAAAAAAAAAUACAAAGG